rnacentral:rRNA from 1 species
AUUGAACGCUGGCGGCAGGCUUAACACAUGCAAGUCGAGCGGGGGGAGGUAGCUUGCUACCUAACCUAGCGGCGGACGGGUGAGUAAUGCUUAGGAAUCUGCCUAUUAGUGGGGGACAACAUUUCGAAAGGGAUGCUAAUACCGCAUACGCCCUAAGAGGGAAAGCAGGGGAUCUUCGGACCUUGCGCUAAUAGAUGAGCCUAAGUCGGAUUAGCUAGUUGGUGGGGUAAAGGCCUACCAAGGCGACGAUCUGUAGCGGGUCUGAGAGGAUGAUCCGCCACACUGGGACUGAGACACGGCCCAGACUCCUACGGGAGGCAGCAGUGGGGAAUAUUGGACAAUGGGGGGAACCCUGAUCCAGCCAUGCCGCGUGUGUGAAGAAGGCCUUUUGGUUGUAAAGCACUUUAAGCGAGGAGGAGGCUACUGGUAUUAAUACUACUGGAUAGUGGACGUUACUCGCAGAAUAAGCACCGGCUAACUCUGUGCCAGCCGCCGCCGUAAGAC